rnacentral:rRNA from 1 species
UAGUAUUGACUGCAUCGCGUGUCGCCCUUUUCCGGUUGAUCCUGCCGGACCCGACUGCUAUCAGAAUAGGACUAAGCCAUGCGAGUCAACGUACACCUAGUAGCAAUACUAUAUGUACGUGGCAUACGGCUCAGUAACACGUAGUCAACAUGCCCAGGGGACGUGGAUAACCUCGGGAAACUGAGGAUAAACCGCGAUAGGUCAUAAUGUCUGGAAUGAUUUAUGGCUGAAAUCUACAUGGCCUCUGGAUUGGACUGCGGCCGAUCAGGCUGUUGGUGAGGUAAUGGCCCACCAAACCUAAAACCGGUACGGGCUCUGAGAGGAGGAGCCCGGAGAUGGGCACUGAGACAAGGGCCCAGGCCCUAUGGGGCGCAGCAGGCGCGAAACCUCUGCAAUAGGCGAAAGCUUGACAGGGUUAUUCUGAGUGGUUUCCGCUAAGGAAAUCUUUUGGCACCUCUAAAAAUGGUGCAGAAUAAGGGGUGGGCAAGCCUGGUGUCAGCCGCCGCGGUAAUACCAGCACCCCGAGUGGUCGGGACGAUUAUUGGGCCUAAAGCAUCCGUAGCCGGUUCUGCAAGUCUUCCGUUAAAUCCACCUGCUUAACAGUUGGGCUGCGGAGGAUACUAUAGAGCUAGGAGGCGGGAGAGGCAAGCGGUACUUAGUGGGUAGGGGUAAAAUCCGUUGAUCCACUGAAGACCACCAGUGGCGAAGGCGGCUUGCCAGAACGCGCUCGACGGUGAGGGAUGAAAGCUGGGGGAGCAAACCGGAUUAGAUACCCGGGUAGUCCCAGCUGUAAACGAUGCAGACUCGGUGAUGAAUAAGCUUCGUGCUUAUUCAGUGCCGCAGGGAAGCCGUUAAGUCUGCCGCCUGGGGAGUACGGUCGCAAGACUGAAACUUAAAGGAAUUGGCGGGGGAGCACCACAAGGGGUGAAGCCUGCGGUUCAAUUGGAGUCAACGCCGGGAAUCUUACCGGGGGCGACAGCAGAAUGAAGGUCAAGCUGAAGACUUUACCAGACAAGCUGAGAGGAGGUGCAUGGCCGUCGCCAGCUCGUGCCGUGAGGUGUCCUGUUAAGUCAGGUAACGAGUGAGAUCCCUGCCUCUAGUUGCUACCAUUGCUCUCAGGAGUAAAGGGGCUAAUUAGAGGGACUGCCGUCGCUGAGACGGAGGAAGGAGGGGGCUACGGCAGGUCAGUAUGCCCCGAAACCCUCGGGCCACACGCGGGCUGCAAUGGUAAGGACAAUAAGUUCCUAGUCCGAAAGGAGGAGGUAAUCUCCAAACCUUACCUCAGUUAUGAUUGAGGGCUGCAACUCGCCCUCAUGAAUAUGGAAUCCCUAGUAACCGCGUGUCACAAUCGCGCGGUGAAUACGUCCCUGCUCCUUGCACACACCGCCCGUCGCUUCAUCGAAGUUGGUUCUUGGCGAGGUGGUGUCUAAUUGGCACUAUCGAACCUGGGGUCAGCAACGAGGGAGAAGUCGUAACAAGGUAACCAAGGGCGACACGCGAUGCAGCGAGCCUCAGACACUC